rnacentral:rRNA from 1 species
GGGCUCAGCCUUCGGGCGCCCCGUCCAACACACACACACACUUUUUUAAUCCGUGAACUGUCCGUUGGGGCCCGCAAGGGCUUCGGCGUCAUCUUAUAAACCCUGUAAAAAAACCCUGAAUGUGUAAUCGCGAGAGCGAACCAAUACAACUUUCAACAACGAUCUCUUGGCUCCCCCAUCGAUGAAGAACGCAGCGAAAUGCGAUAAGUAAUGUGAAUUGCAGAAUUCAGUGAAUCAUCGAAUCUUUGAACGCACCUUGCGCCCCUUGGUAUUCCGAGGGGCAUGUCUGUCUGAGCGUCGUUUAACCCUCAAUCUCCUCAUUUGCUCUUGCGGGCUUAUUGGGGCUGAUUGGAUCGUGAGCUCUGCAGGGCCUCUGGGUCCGGCUGGCUUGAAAUGGAUCAGUGGUAACUUGGUGGCCUGUCGAAAGCUACUGGGACCCGGCGUGAUAGUAAAAUGUCUUCGUCUGGUAUUCCAAUGGUGAUUAGAGGGGGCUUGUACAGGUCCGCUUGCAAACGAAUAACUCUCAACCUUUGACCUCAGAUCAGGCAGGACUACCCGCUGAACUUAAGCAUAUCAAUAAGCGGAGGAAAAGAAACUAACCAGGAUUCCCCUAGUAACGGCGAGUGAAGCGGGAAGAGCUCAAAUUUGUAAGCUGGCGGUUUCACCGUCCGCGUUGUAAUCUCGAGAAGCCACAUCCGCGCCGGCCCUUGUAUAAGUCUGUUGGAAUUCAGUGUCAGAGAGGGUGAGAACCCCGUCUGUUAUAAGGACUACCGGUGCUUUGCGUUGGGCUUUCGAAGAGUCGCGUUGUUUGGGAAUGCAGCGCUAAUGGGUGGUAAAUUCCAUCUAAGGCUAAAUAUCGGGGGGAGACCGAUAGCGAACAAGUACCGUGAGGGAAAGAUGAAAAGCACUUUGGAAAGAGAGUUAAAUAGUACGUGAAAUUGUUGAAAGGGAAACGCUUGAAGUCAGUCACGCGGCGGAUAUCCAGCCUUCGGGUGUACCUAUCUGUCCGCGGGCCAGCAUCAGUUUUGGGGGUCGGAUAAUGGCUUGGGGA